CUCACGUGUAAUAACGCGUGAUACGCUGCUAGGUAACAUUUAUCCUAGAAAAACAAAUGCGCUAGUCAUAAACGCGAUAUGAUAUGAAAAUGUAUGCAUGUAUGCAUGCAUGCGUACGUAGAAACAAGAGUUUGCCGACGUCGGCCAAACAAGAGCGAUAGUUCGACCGAAAUAUGCCGCGACGAUAUCUUUCAAUUCCGCGCGAGAGUUCGUGGCUGUAUGCACAUGCAGCCUGAAGACGCAUCGAGAUAUCUCGUCGGGCUGUUUACACAUGCAUCUGAUCAGAACCGCCAAAGUUUGCCGAACUUGAUCUAGGGGAUGACGAUAUCAGAGAAUACAGCGUGACAUCAAUGAGAGCGUAUCUACUUUUCGACUGGUCGGAAGCGGUCAUGCAUUUUCACCGAUAGGUCAAAGGUGUGACAUGUGCCGAGAGCAAAAACAAAGCGUGCGCACUACACUACACCGAAUACAUACAAAUAAACCGGCGUACGGGCAUGCCGAAUGCAUUUAGGUGUGACAUGUGAAUGCGGAAUGGCGUUGGGACGGUUGCAGGCCCACAACGGGGAUGAUUCUACCAUUCACACACAAUAGAAUAAAUUCCGGCUGAAGUAAUCCUGUCAGCGGCACUGUCACGGAAUCAAUGGACUUACGCACGAGCGCGUCGCACCCGAGAAAUCAGCUAUCACGAUAUAAUCAACGUGCAGUCUCAAUAAUUCGGUCACGCGUCUACCAGAUAAUAAAUCAGAAUCGCGGCGUUUUAUUCGACUUAUCGUGUGCGCCUCUGAAAGAAUUAUGUCGGAGGAACGACUUUGGCGAGUUUAUUCAGGAAGACACGUGGGAUUUCGCGAGGAUUAUCAUGUUAGUUAACAAUUUUUUGCUCGUCUCGUUUUUUGCUCGUAGGUUAACUAAAUAUCUGGUAGAAUAUGAACGAACUAGAAUCCCAAUUAAAGUUACAAAAAUCAAAUCACUAGGUAUCUAGUUAAUCCAACCAUAUUUCUUUUUCCCUGUGAAACAGAGAGAAAAAGCGCGAGCUCUAAUUCCUCACGAAGCCAGGUCAAGGCGAUUUGUCAGCGAGAGACAUGACCUUUUAUCUUGGAAAAGAACGCGAACAGGUGCGUAGGUGCACACUACGUGUAUACCUUGAAGGUGCAUAUCGUGAAGGUGCUUUCUACGAGUUAUAUUGGUUUUAUCGCCAACAGACCAUGCGAAAGUUCGCUUAUUCUUCCACGACGAUGGGCAAUAUAUUAUAGUAGCUAUUUUGCAGAUCGCUCCAUUUUGCAAAUCGAUAAUUCAGUAAUGAAUAUUCAACUCUCACCGCAGCUCGUUUCGCAUCGCCUCGAUUGGAAUAGCCUUUCCCUCGGCUCUACUCCCACGCGUUUUUACCUCGCGGAUUCUGCACGUGACGUGUAGAACGUAUAAGAGAUGACACAUCACUUUUUGUGAAAAUGCCGGCGCCACGUCACAUGAGCCUCAUUAAGCCCAUAUCAUAUUAAUAAUUAUAUUACGAUUAUGCAAAACCAAAGGACGGCUAAGCGAGAAUCGCGGAUCGUGAUCUCUUUUCCAGUUCUUUUCCAAUCGAUCAAGAGAUAAUUGUAAACGCAGACGCAGCCGCCAAUCGCUGCACGAUAAAAGAUAUCUGUGUUGAAAUCGACUCACGUGAAAAGUUUUAUGUUAAUUUAAUGUAUUGAAUGUCGUUGUGUUAUUUUAACUACUAUUAGUUGAGUUUACCGCAUCUAAGUGUUAAAAUGACACAAUUUAUGUGUAAAUAUUGUUACGAGAAAGAAAAAAUUCUUGAUGACAUAUUUUACACGUAAAGUAUAUGGAUUAUUUGUCUACAUACUUGCUUUGUGUCAAAUUAAUGGAAAAAUUAGAGUAGACAAAUUGCGACAUGUGUCCAAAUUUUAGUACAAAACUUUUAACGGUGUAGCGCAAUACGGGCUUUAGUUGACGAACGAAACGCAAAUGCGGAAAUGCUAGGAGGAAAUAGCAAUUGUGAUAGCGAUUAUUUGCUUCUGCGAAAGAUCUUCGGCUGAUUAAUUGGCUGAAGUGAGUCAAGCGAAUGUGUAAUCGGUACCCGCGAUACGGGGCUCCCACCUCGCGCCAGAAUCCACGAGGUUUCAGCGAAUAUGUCGCAAUGAAUAAUCCGAGAACGCGCUUUGGAAAUUUUCGUGACACAAUGCGAACGGAAGGAACGUUAGAUGAAUAUGCAACGACAAAAACUUUUAAUGCCAUAUCUAUUUCACUUGAAAUCACAUAAAUUUUCUCUCUGACUACAGAAUAUAUGGAUAUAGCACUUUUCUCCGUGUACAGAAGUAUCGUUUCUGGAACAGCAAAUUGAAAAUAAUAGAUUUGUUCUUACGAGGUGAUUUGCUGUCUCAUAUCAACAAGCCAUUUAUUACUGGCACUUUGUUAGAUUAGCAAAACUUUUUCUCUCACAGUACUGAAAAUAAACGUCCGAAGAAACUCGUUUGAAACAAUAUUCCAGAGUCUACCACAAUAUAUUCUACAGUGUAUACCGUCAAUAAUAUAUGUUCGUUAAUAAUGCGUCUCGAUCGAGAACGCAUUUGAUGUCAUGAUAUAUUAAAGAAUUAUUCUCGUUUCUUUCUCAUCGAACAAUAAAAUAUUCACAGGCAGACAUGAGGAAAAUUUACGCAAAAGAAAGGAAAAUGAGUCGCGUUGCGACAAUUUUACUUGACGGCUCACCUUUUGCGGUUAAUCUCAAUUUCAAAUAAUCGACGACAGGAGAAGAACGAGGCUGUGAGCUGCCGAUAAGGAUCGCCCUAAUUUAUAAACGCGUCUAGACUCGUCUUUUCUUUCACCGAACUGACGCACGUGCCAUUUUGCUUUCAGAGUGCACAUUUACGUCGACGUCAAUUCGACGAACAAGGAACACCGACAGCGUCCUUAUGCGCGUCACACGCGCACGCGACAAACGCGAUGACGUUUCUUUUGUCAGCAGAAAGAAAGUACGGAUCUGUCGCGUCGCCGGCGUUAUGUCGACUUGGCGAACGUGAGGGCCGAUAUGUAACAGUUGAAAAGCAUGGCAAGUAUUUCGCUCGUUCGACGUUUACGGAAAUGAAUAAUUUAUGAGGUGAGAAUAAGCAUGAAAUAUUUAAGUCCGCGCGUAGUGUAGAAAGAGAAACGCGUCGCGACGAUGGCGGCGACGUACGAAAAAGCAAAGGCGCUUUCCUGCAUCUUCUCUGUCUCUACACGGACACGCUUUCGAGCGAAUUCGAGAAAGCUAUGACGUCCGAUGAUAGGAACGAGCAAUAAGAGAAGCGCGACCGAACGCUACAUUCGAGAUCAAAUUAUUUCACGCGACUGCGCGAAUUUAGAAAAAUUGUGUCACUCUUAUCGGAUCGACGUUAUUUCGCGAUGCAGUUUCCCGCGUUUCAAGAGUCGUCUUUAAUUCAAUUUAUAAAGUUCACUUUGAACAAGUCGCGACAGAAUUUAAAAUAGAAUUCCACGAAAAAACAUUUGAGAAAUCAGAAUUAUACCCAAGGCAAUAUUUAACACACACACACACACACACACACACACACACACACAUUUCUCUCUUUUCAUUUUUACAAAUCUUUAAAUGGUUACUGCGUUUUUAUGUUAUAUAUAUGACGCGAAUAAUUACAAAGAGAAAUCUCUCUCGCAUUUUAGUAUUACGUAUUUUAGUAUUUAUGUUAUAAAUAUAAUAAUAUUAAAAAUAUUUCAAAGCGUGCUUCACGCAAUAUGAGUGAAUAUUCACUUGAUUUUGCGUGAAUUCAUCUCGACAAAGGAUUUUAAAGAAUUUUUGCAGGUAACUAGUUGCGCAUUAAUAUUUUCAGCCUUAGAAGCCACGACAACUGCACAAAGCGAUGGAAAAUUUACUUAGCCUCGAGGUGGCGAUUAAGGAGACCAGCGGCGGAAAGCAUCGGAGUAAUUUCCUCGUCGCCGAGGAGGAUAGCGAUUUCAAGAAAAAAUCAGUUUUCCGUUUAUGCGCGGGAAAAACUGUUAGGGAUGCUACACCCACGUGUUCUAUAAUAUAUAGAGAGAAAAUUUACGUGAUUUCAAGUUAUAUAAAUAUGACAUUAAAGGUCAGCUUUUAGCUUAAUAAGAAUAAUAUUGUUGUAGACAAGAAAGAGACUAGCGACGAGAGACAAACGAAUAUAUAAUCCUCACAUCCAUUCAUAAAUUUGCUCGCAGAUAUUGUUAAAAUGCUGUUGCCGCAAAUUCUACGUCUCACAGACAAUUUUCUCUAUGACAAUCUAUAUCUUUUCUAUACUGAUUUCCAAAUACAAAAAACAGCGAUAAAUCUUAAUUGACAUUUAGAAUUAAAUUGACAUUAGAAUUCUAUAUGGGCCAGCAAAACAUUUCCUUAAGUAUGUGCGUGGGCGAAACAUAACAUUAACAUUAAUAUUUCGUUACGGCAAUCAUAUUUAGGCAAAUAAUAUCCUUAGCAUUUUCUCCAUGUAUUUUUAACUGCACUGCAAUUUCAGACUCGCGAACGUUCAAACAACGUUCUUCAACGAGAAAAUCUGUUUUAGGAAACGGCUACAAAUUUGGUUGGAUUAUUAUUAUCACGUGGCUGUUCCCACGAAUUUAUCUGAUCUCUCGCAUUUUUGUUUCAAUUUUCUCCUGAUGGUAAACAACGCGAAAAGUAUCCGAGUUAAUUGAACACCCACGCGGAGCUACACGUGGCGCGUCGCUGAAUUAAAAAAUGAGGACGAAAAAAACGCGUUCGCCAUUCAGCGCGCCGCUUAGAGAAAGUAAAAUUGCGUAAAAGAAGAAGUAGCCUGGAGAAAGUAAAAUCACGCAGAGAGGUGGGUGACGGAUUUCGCGGAGCGAACAGCGAGUGCAGUGCAUUCGCCGAUUGGAAUGUCAAUAGCCGACAUUUUCGCCAACUAUCCCCUGAGUAGAAACUUAAUUGCCGCGCUCAAGUUUGACGGGCGCCGCUUAACGAUGAAAUCUCGAAGAAACAGGCCGCAUGAUCAAAGCAAAAUAUCAGAGCAACAUUCGCUCACACUGUCAGAUCUCUGCGCGGGACGUAAAAAUUUAUAAGCGCAUUAUUGGAGCACAUCGAAACGCGCAAUAAAUAUUUCGAGCGCGCGGAGAAAUAUUCACGUUCGCGUGCCACCAUCAGUUUGUGCGGUGGAUAAACAAAAAAAUUUUACAAAAUAAUGAUUUUUUUUCAUAAAAAUUCUCUUCGAUUUAUCAUGUCUUUAGUAGUGCAGGAACAGAUCAUCUGCUUUGCUAAUAAUAACAUGAUAAAUUGCGUCAGGAGCAUAUUUUUUAAUAGCAUAUUUCAGAAUUCCUGAGAUAUAAAUAGCACGUGCGCGGAGAAAAUAUUUUAGUGAAAAUUACGUUAAAAUUAUAUCUCUUUUUACAGUGUUUUUUGCAAAACUAGGACACAUACGGAAAUUGUGGUAUAAAUUAUCGUAGAAAUAAUAAAUUUGACAAUCCACCUAGUAUAAGAUAUAAAAAACAACAAGUUAUUACUUAGUUAGUUAAUAAUUUUGUGGUAAAAAGUCAAACGCGCAUAACAUUUUUAAACAAAUAUGUGGUAAAUUUUAUCAUAAUUCUGUGUAUGAUUCAAGAUUACAAAAAUAUCAUGAUUUUUUCUACAAUAUUUUUUCCGUAUAUGAAAAACGAAAGGAUAAUAAAUUACUGCAGAAUGUUUGUCUAUUUCUCGGUUAGAAAAUUUUAUAAUAAUUUUUACUACAAAAUUCUCUCCAUAUAAUGUCUGACUAACAAUGUAAAAUGGAACAAAAUAUAUUUAAACUAAACAUGCGUAUUUUCAGUCUCCUUUG